GAAUUAGUUCACUAGUGUUGACAUAAUAGGGCAGUUGCCUACAUAAAUGCAUUCACUUAAUGAAACAUGAUAAUCAAAUGUCAUUAAUUGUCAAUUUUAUUUAUAGUAACCAUGAAAUUAGUAGGUACUCCGUACAAAGUAUCUAUUCCAAUAUAUGGAUUCCAUUAUACUAUCAUUUAGUUUUUCUUUUCUCAUUAAAGAAUAAUUAAAACGCUUUUAGUACGAUUCGUCAAAUUUCUUGAGGAAGGAAUCAUUUCCAAAAUCAAUUCAUUUCCAAAUUCUAUUAAAAUAAUAAUAUUAACACACAACAGAUUAAUUAUUUUAAAGUCAGAUAGUGGCCACAGCGGUAGAAACCCUCUGAGAACCACCAUUGAACGAAUACCAUUGUUGCCAAUCUAGUUUCACCUCCAAAUUAUAUUUCAAAAAGAAACGUUCCACCAAACAAUUCAGUUAAUUUCUGUGCCUUUGUCUACAACUAAAAAAAAUGAUGUGCUACAACUGAAGUGACUAUAGUCAGCGCCUUAACAGUUUUCUUAGUCUGCGUGCAAUAAAUGAAAACCCAAGUUGGAAGAUACAAUUGAUAACUUGCCAGUAGCUAACUUUUUGCUUUCCACUCCAUUAUUGACGUCUCGUAAGAAUCAGUCUGGCUAUCUUUAACUUUCUUUCCAGCGGUACUAGUCUUCACAAAUACGAUAAAGUUAGACCUGAUAGAUACAGCAUUACGUGUUUCGAAGAAUGUGUAAAACUGUACUACUAAAACUCUAUUAAGUCUUUUUCAGAUUGACUUGGAUGUUAGUAUGGUUGACUUAGUAUAAGAUUACUAUAAGUCUGAUACUAACUAUGGGGGUUAAUUCAAUCUGUGUAUUUAAUCUCACUUAGAUACUACAGUUAAAUAAAUACUAAACACACAAUUGUAUGAAGUGUUUCAAUUAAAAAUGAAACUUGCGAGUUGCCGCUUUACUGAUCAACUUUUAUUAGUUCUCUGGACGAAGAUACGCAGUUCGUAGUAGAUCAGUCAUUAGAAACAAACAGCAGACAUUAGUACGAUGAAGAAUGUGAAGGCAAUAUGAAAUUUAAAAAUAAUAAUGGAUUCGAUCGAAGGGAAGCCCUCAUGACCACGGGUGAUUUUUCCACAUCGUGUCGGAAUUCUGCGUUGGUGCCAGCUUAGUGACUACAACAUGAGUUAUUCGAGUUAAAGAUUUAUUCAGGCCUGACAACGCGCAUAUUACCCCUAGUGUUGCAGGGGUCUAAGUAAACAACAUAAGGUUGAACUAAAGUAAUUCCAUCGGCUAAUGUAAAUCCUAGGCUUGUAGAAGUCUCUAGAAGGAAAAUGUUAGACAGCGACCACGAACCAUUAUGGUCGCUCGAAAACUCUCUGGCUAAGUAACGAAAAUGUAAAACAUCAUUCCAGAAGCUGAUGUCGCCAACAUAGGUUGUCUAUGGGAGAGUGGAAAAAGUAAUCAAGUCGGCGAUAUAUCGCAGCGCUAACUCGGGAUAACUCUUAAUUGUUUGAUGCGAUGCCUGGCGGACGGGCGACGUGCCGCCCCGCUUCGAUGCGCUCCAGAACUUGGCUGAGUUACUGUAUCAUACUAAUCUUUUUUGUAAUAGGAGAUUAAAUAUUUCACAUAAUCUCUU